UACGAAGGGGGCGAGCGUUGUUCGGAAUUACUGGGCGUAAAGGGCGCGUAGGCGGUCCUUCAAGUCAGGCGUGAAAGCCCCGGGCUCAACCUGGGAACCGCGCUUGAGACUGGCGGACUCGAGUUCGGGAGAGGAUGGUGGAAUUCCCAGUGUAGAGGUGAAAUUCGUAGAUAUUGGAAGAACACCGAUGGCGAAGGCAGCCAUCUGGACCGACACUGACGCUGAGGCGCGAAAGCGUGGGGAGCA
rnacentral:rRNA from 1 species